CUUUUUUUCUUUUUCUUUUUUUUAAAAAAAAAAGAUGAUCUAGAUUUUAAAAGACUUUAUUAGUUCUGUUGUGAUUUUAAUCAGAGUUUUGUGUAAAAUAAUGUUGGCCUGUUGUCUCCAGUUUACCGAAAUGUGAUUAGUUUUAUAUUGAUUUUUUACUUGUGUACAUACAAACAUUGAAAGUUGACAGUUCGCCUAAAAUUUCCUGUGUGUGUGUGAAAAAAAUAAAUGAUGAACGUUAGCCAAGAAUCUCCCGAUGAUUCACCGGAUGUAACAGACGAUUUUACUUUUAAAAGAGCAGUAGUAAAACUCCCAGAACUGGAUCCUUCUAAAAUAUCCGCUGCAGAAAUAGUGAAAGCUAUAUCAAAGUACAUACAUCCUAAAAAGAUAAAAAGUGUUAUGUUUGAUCUCCAUGUUCAGUGUUAUCUGGUGUUUGUAGCUGACAUCGAAUCAGUUUGUCUUUUAAUUAAAAAAGAGCUUGUUAUAUGUCAGUAUGUCACGAGAGCCGUAUUUCUGUUGGACUGCUACAUCAUAGACGGUGUUUAUCCUCAUGUUACAGAUGAUAUCCUUAGAGAAAUAUUUGAAUGUUUUGGUCGUAUAUAUACAAUUCGUAAAAUUUACUUGCUUCCGAACUCAUCUAAAUAUGCUCAUGUGUUAAGUAGUAAGCGGGAAAUUGAUUUCGUACUUCCAACAGAUCAAACUAAAAUUGAAAUUCCUGAUAAUAUCAGUAAUCCAUUAUAUAAUUUUAAAGUUAUCAAGUACUGCUUCGGAUGUUUCACAGAGGGACAUUCUAUUUUAGAUUGCUCUGAUGUUGAUGAUUUUGUUCUCAGUUUACCAGACGUUAGUUCAGAACUUAUAUGUAAGGAUGAUAAUGAUAAAAAAAUAAAAACCUUACCGAAUGCAGAUGAUGAUUUGCAUGAUAAUGACAAUGGCAGUAGUGCCAAUGACUGUACGGAACUGGAGAAAGAGUAUAAGAGAAGAAGCAGGAAAAGGAAGAGGAGGAGAAGAAUUGUGAAAUUGAAGUCCACUUAAUUUUACUUCAUGUAUCCCAAAGGUUUAUAUACAGCCAAAGAGGAUCUUACCAUUUAUACCAGAUGAUGGUAUUACAAAAGUGAAUUUCAGGCACAGAUAAUGUUUUUAAUUGAAUUUAUUCA
rnacentral:misc_RNA from 1 species